GGUCCUACGGGWGGCWGCAGUAGGGAAUCUUCCGCAAUGGGCGAAAGCCUGACGGAGCAAUGCCGCGUGAGUGAUGAAGGUUUUCGGAUCGUAAAGCUCUGUUGCCAGGGAAGAACGCUUGGGAGAGUAACUGCUCUCAAGGUGACGGUACCUGAGAAGAAAGCCCCGGCUAACUACGUGCCAGCAGCCGCGGUAAUACGUAGGGGGCAAGCGUUGUCCGGAAUUAUUGGGCGUAAAGCGCGCGCAGGCGGUCAUUUAAGUCUGGUGUUUAAUCCCGGGGCUCAACCCCGGAUCGCACUGGAAACUGGGUGACUUGAGUGCAGAAGAGGAGAGUGGAAUUCCACGUGUAGCGGUGAAAUGCGUAGAUAUGUGGAGGAACACCAGUGGCGAAGGCGACUCUCUGGGCUGUAACUGACGCUGAGGCGCGAAAGCGUGGGGAGCAAACAGGAUUAGAUACCCGUAGUAGUCAGAGCGAAUGCGCGCGCUUUACGCC
rnacentral:rRNA from 1 species